GGUCCCCUCUCACACACACCCGCGUGGCCUGGACUGCGAGUCGUGGAGCAUCCCGUGGGGUUGCGGUGGGGUGCAGCGCCGAGGCUAGCCUCCCCGGGUGUCCGUUCGGGUUCAGGCUCGGCCCUGGGCAAGCAGCCCGUGCUUCUUUCGCCAGGUGCAGAAAUCCUACCGCCCGUGCGCCCUGGGCGCGCCGCCGGGCCCCGUGCCGGCUCCCCGGGAAUGCGGCCGUCAGGUGAGUUUCUCCUUCAGAUGCAAGAAGGGAGAUCACAGGAAUCCAUGCCCGACUCCAGUCUAACUCCGUCCACAGGCAGAGAGAGAAUUAUGAAUGGAUGCUGCCUUCUGAUGAGGAAGUCGACUGGGGAGGUCUCUGCGCACGGCGCGCUCCAUCAAAGC
ensembl:antisense Gm15202 predicted gene 15202